rnacentral:rRNA from 1 species
GCUGGCGGCAGGCCUUAUACAUGCAAGUCGAGCGCAUCCUUCGGGAUGAGCGGCGGACGGGUGAGUAACGCGUGGGAAUGUGCCCUUCUCUACGGAAUAGCCACUGGAAACGGUGAGUAAUACCGUAUACGCCCUUAGGGGGAAAGAUUUAUCGGAGAAGGAUCAGCCCGCGUUAGAUUAGGUAGUUGGUGGGGUAACGGCCUACCAAGCCUACGAUCUAUAGCUGGUUUUAGAGGAUGAUCAGCCACACUGGGACUGAGACACGGCCCAGACUCCUACGGGAGGCAGCAGUAGGGAAUCUUGGACAAUGGGGGAAACCCUGAUCCAGCCAUGCCGCGUGAGUGAAGAAGGCCUUAGGGUCGUAAAGCUCUUUCGCCUGUGAUGAUAAUGACAGUAGCAGGUAAAGAAACCCCGGCUAACUCCGUGCCAGCAGCCGCGGUAAUACGGAGGGGGUUAGCGUUGUUCGGAAUUACUGGGCGUAAAGCGCGCGUAGGCGGAUUGGAAAGUUGGGGGUGAAAUCCCGGGGCUCAACCCCGGAACUGCCUCCAAAACUGCCAGUCUAGAGUUCGAGAGAGGUGAGUGGAACUCCAAGUGUAGAGGUGAAAUUCGUAGAUAUUUGGAAGAACACCAGUGGCGAAGGCGGCUCACUGGCUCGAUACUGACGCUGAGGUGCGAAAGUGUGGGGAGCAAACAGGAUUAGAUACCCUGGUAGUCCACACCGUAAACGAUGAAUGCCAGUCGUCGGGUAGUAUACUAUUCGGUGACACACCUAACGGAUUAAGCAUUCCGCCUGGGGAGUACGGUCGCAAGAUUAAAACUCAAAGGAAUUGACGGGGGCC